CGCCCGCCAUGAUGCCCGGCUCAUUUUCUGUGUUUUCAGUAGAGACGGGGUUUCACUGUGUUAGCCAGGAAAGUCUUGAUCUCCUGACCUCGUGAUCCUGACCUCGGCCUCCCAAAGUGCUGGGAUUACAGGCGCGAGCCACCGCGCCCGACAGCAGUUAUGAAGUUCUAAAAGCAAGUCUUAAUCAGGAAGUGUCCUUGAUCACCAACGGCUCGCCCAGGCAUGCUGGCUCUCUUCCACUUCCACCUUCCACCAUGGGAUGACGCAGUAAGAAGGCCAUCAGUAGAUGCCAGUCCCUCAACCUUGAACUUUCCAGACGCAGAACUUUAUGCCUCCAUUUUCCUCUGCUGCAUGGCCCCAGGAGAGAUUUUAAUUAGCUUUCUAACCUUGGUCCAGAUUGCACAUGCAAAUGGUAGAGGAUGCAACACCCCCGCUUGUGGAGCUGCCGCUUGUGUCUGGCAUGAAAAUUCACAAGAAGAGAGGAAAUACUGAGGAGAAAAUGGCAGAUUGUGUUUGCUGAAUUUGAUUGACGAAGAAGUCACCAUGAAAAUCACAGUGAACCAUUUGGAAAGCAAACUGCCAAAAAAUAAUAGUUAGUCAUGCUCUCAGGCUGGUAAUUGAAAGUUUUGUUCAAAUCGUACUUAAUAUUCAAUAAUUGUUUAACCAUACCACUGCUUAUCUUGGGAAUGCUGAUACUAUGGAGACAAUAAGAUAAGGUGGCUGCUGAAAAUCAGAUUUAGACACUACUUUGAUUAUAAUCAUUUUUUUUGUAUAUCCCAUGAAGGUAUUAUAUGUUAGUGGUUGUUCUAUGCUUAAUAUUUAUAUAGCAACAAAGAGUAAAUAAACUGCAAUUUAUACAUGUUAUAUUGUUGACCUAUGCUAAAAGUUAAUUACCAUAAUGAAAUGGUUUGGCUGUGUCCCC
rnacentral:lncRNA from 1 species